rnacentral:lncRNA from 1 species
UAAACAAAAGACCAUUAGGCAAAAAUAUAGCGUGUUAUAGUGUAUUAAAUUGUGUUUUUAAGUGUUUUUAUAUACUUUGGUGAGCGGCGCACCGCCAGUUCGAGGCCAAGCGCAAGUCGCACUACAACGAGUUCUACGCGGUGAAGCUGGCCCGACAGCUGAUGGAGAAGGAAGAGGAGUUGCUGGAGGCCAAGUCGGAGGAGGGCGCCGGCCCGUCCUCGGCUGCCGGGCCGUCCUCAUCGUCUGCCGAGCCGGCCCCGGCCCCUGACUCGGCUCCGUCGACCAGCUCGUAGACGGACGGCCCGCCGAGACCGGCCCGGCGCCGGAGCCCGUCUGUGUAUUGGUUUGGCAGGCGCACUGUGUGUCCGGCCCGGUGCAGCCAUUUGUGAUACGGUUUAGCCAGAACGCUGCUGCUCCUGCUAACGGUGUGACGCGGUGGAUGUCACGUCAACACCACCGUCACGUCACUGCAACCGUCAGUCACGUCACGUCUUGUCGCCGGAUCGACAGCCGCCGUGACGGGACCGGGAGGGCAGCCCAGCUGUGUGCCACAGAGGCUGACGGAGGACUCCUCUAGGACAAAGGAACAAAGGUGGUGGCUCAUCCCACCAUGGUGGUGCCCCGGCGGCUGGCGCGCGCGGAAGCCACUCGUGGUCGCCAAGAAGCGUCAUGCCGGUCCGACCAGCUCUCGGUGGACACAUCCGUUAGCGCCGCGUCAGGCGGGCAGUGCGGCCGGCGGUCGCGCUGGGGAAGGCGGCGUGCCCUAUCGACCCGGCGACGCAGUGAUGGAGGCCGCCGGCGGACUCAGACGGCCGCGGGACACGUAUGUGAUGCCUCGCUGACCGAGAGCCGGCCGGCCACCCGCUCCGGCGCGGAGCCGAGGCUUUAUUUACCGCUGGGGACGGACAUGCGCGUACCGCUGGGGGCCCGUGCUGAUUCCGCCGACGGCGUUGUCCUAUGAUGCUGCAGUGCAGCGCGUACUCUGUAGAGUGUAGGGACGUAAGAGGCAUCAAAUUACGGCGCGGAAGUGCGCCAGCUCGGAAAGUCGCCGGCCGUAACCGGCCUUCUGAUACAAACUCGGUACCUACUUCCAGGCCGCCGGCUCGAGGGACCGGCCCAGUGCCGUCGCCAGGCUCAUCAGUGGAAUAGCGCGCUAGGAUGGAUGUUAUGAAUGUAAAGUCAACGUCUCCGCGCGGGCCUGCGUUAGACCAUCGAUAAUGUCCUGUUCGCUCCUCGUGCAUGUCUGUGUUUGUUUGGGUGCGUGUGCAGUGCAGAUUGUGUGGGUGGGCGUAUCACAGAUAGCGUCUGAUUGUCGCCGGUGUAGCAAGGAUUGACCUUCCGAAUAAUCCUCGCUGAUUGUCGUUGCAAUAAACGUCGAAUGCUGGUGUCACA